ACUGAAAAAUAGACACAAGGCAACAUAAAACAGAUUAAGACCGAAGUCCAGCCAGAAUGAAGGUCUUGAGGUAGGAAAGAACAUGGCCAAGUUCACACAACUGGAAGAAAGUCAGUGAGGCUGGAGCAAACAAAGGAAGCAGAGAGUUACAAGACAGACAGUUGUCUCCUGGCCUGUUAAAUGUGUCGUUCUACCGAUUGAUGGCAAGAUAGA
rnacentral:lncRNA from 10 species